AGUGAGAGAUUAUUAGAUAUAUGUCCUAAAAGCUAAUUCUUGACUGACACAUUUCAUUCUACGAUACAAAUUUAUACUUAAACUAUUGAUUUAAUCAAUAAACAGUUAGUUUUUCUUUUUCAUUCAAGUAUUAUAUAUCCUUGAAUCAUCCUUAAAAUUAAUGUUACGAUACAUAUUCUCAAAUAUUGAGAAUUAGAGGCAUGUAUGAUCGAUUCCUAAAUUGCUUUCGAUCAUAGGAUAGUCAUGGGGAUGGUGAUUUAUCCAGAU
rnacentral:lncRNA from 1 species